rnacentral:tRNA from 1 species
AGUGAAGUGCCUGAUAAAAGGUUUAUUUUGAUAGAAUAAGUUAUGCUGGCCAACCCUGCCUUCACUU